AAAGUACUCCCUCCGUCACAAAAUUCUUAUCUUAGAUUUUUCUAGAUACGGAUGUAUCAAGUCACAGAUACAUCCGUAUCUAGACAAAUCUAAGACAAGAAAUUUGGGACAGAGGGAGUAGUUG
rnacentral:pre_miRNA from 1 species